rnacentral:tmRNA from 1 species
GGGGGCGUACUGGUUUCGACGGGGAGCAUGGUUAUUCGGUAAGCGAGCCGCGGACCCGCAACCGCGCAACAAGCGGGGCAAACAACAACUGACAACAAUCAAUUAGCUUUCGCGGCCUAAUCCCCGCGACGUCGGCCCGAGGCCACCUGUAGCCUCGGCCCCCGGCGCAAGAAAUACAGGGCACCGAACUUGCCUAAGCUUUGCGGCAAGCCGUAUUUAUGAAGCUACCGGCCCCUUGAUCCUGCCGACGGGAGCUUGGAAAAGGGAAAUUUAAAGCGUCGACUGCGCUCGGAGAAGCCCGCUUAGUCAGCUUUUCGGACAGGGGUUCGAUUCCCCUCGCCUCCACCA